UUUCUCAACAAUGACCCUUGUCCACCCACUUGUUGAAGAAGCUUUAAGACUUGCACAUCUCACCACAUCCACGAAUAUAUUUGGAGGUAUUGAUAAGUAAAACAACCUAUUAGAAAUCCUACAACCCUCCUUUUCCUUUAAUUUGUAAUCCAGUUCUGCAAAAUCAUCCUCAGAAUUGUACUGACCGGAAUGAUAAAAACAUCUUUCCAGAAAAUGCUCCAUUUUGGCAUCACAAUUCUCUCUCUUAUCAAUUCGACAAGUUAAGGUUGUACUGAUCAUGUUUCUCAGCUCUUCAUCACUCAAUUUUGUUCG
rnacentral:misc_RNA from 1 species